GAAAUGCGAUAAGUAGUGUGAAUUGCAGAAUUCAGUGAAUCAUCGAAUCUUUGAACGCACAUUGCGCCCCUUGGUAUUCCAUGGGGCAUGCCUGUUCGAGCGUCAUUUGUACCCUCAAGCUCUGCUUGGUGUUGGGUGUAUGUCCCGUCUCCGCGCGUGGACUCGCCCCAAAGUGAUUGGCAGCCGGCGUACUGGUCCCGGAGCGCAGCACAUGUCGCGCAAACGAGUGCCUUGGUACGGCGGCGUCCAUAAGCCCCUCUCUCACGCUCUUGACCUCGGAUCAGGUAGGGAUACCCGCUGAACUUAAGC
rnacentral:misc_RNA from 1 species